AGAGACAGCAGCAGCCACGGUAAAACGUAGGUGGCAAGCGUUGUCCGGAAUUAUUGGGCGUAAAGGGCUCGCAGGCGGUUUCUUAAGUCUGAUGUGAAAGCCCCCGGCUCAACCGGGGAGGGUCAUUGGAAACUGGGAAACUUGAGUGCAGAAGAGGAGAGUGGAAUUCCACGUGUAGCGGUGAAAUGCGUAGAGAUGUGGAGGAACACCAGUGGCGAAGGCGACUCUCUGGUCUGUAACUGACGCUGAGGAGCGAAAGCGUGGGGAGCGAACAGGAUUAGAUACCCCUGUAGUCCCUGUCUCUUAUAA
rnacentral:rRNA from 1 species